AAUACAAAUGAAAAGAGUGGAAAAGAAGUCGAAGCGAAGGAUGAGAACAAAGGGAAAUAUAAUGUAGCCCAAAAGAGUGAAAUGAACACUAAAAUGAAUAAGAGACCAGAUUUACGGUAUUACGUUAAAGUGAAAAUGAAGCAGACAGUAAUCGAUAUGGAGAAUACAGAUGGUUGAUACAAUUAUGGCGGUAAAACUGAAGAAAACUAAAUUUUAUAGUUUUAUAUUUAGUUAAAAGUAUAUUAAGAGUGAUUUUGGUGAUGGAAAAGGUGAUGGUAAACAAUAAUCAUAUUUACAUUUAUAUUUAUAAGUGCAGUACCAAAUGUACAUUGUGAGGCCUAAAAUAAUUGAAAACAAAGAGAGAUGUAAAGUAUAAUUUCUAUGCACAAACUUUUAUACUACCAAGUUCUAUUAUUGCCUUUAUGUAACACCAAAGGAAAGGCAUUUAUAUUUUAAAAUAAUAAUUGACUUAUAAAUCAAAACC